rnacentral:rRNA from 1 species
UACUAGUUAGACGUUACCCGGGUAGUCCGAGGUGUAAACGCUGCGGGCUUGGUGUUGGGGGGUCCUUAGUGGGCGCCCAGUGCCGGAGAGAAGUUGUUAAGCCUGCUGCUUGGGGAGCAUGUCCGCAAGGAUGAAACUUAAAGGAAUUGGCGGGGGAGCACCGCAACGGGAGGAGCGUGCGGUUCAAUUGGAUUCAACGCCGGACAACUCACCAGGAGCGACGGUUACAUGAAGGCCAGGCUGAUGACCUUGCCUGAUUUUCCG